GAUGAACGCUGGCGGCGUGCCUAAUACAUGCAAGUCGAGCGAACAGAUGAGGAGCUUGCUCCUCUGACGUUAGCGGCGGACGGGUGAGUAACACGUGGAUAACCUACCUAUAAGACUGGGAUAACUUCGGGAAACCGGAGCUAAUACCGGAUAAUAUAUUGAACCGCAUGGUUCAAUAGUGAAAGACGGUUUUGCUGUCACUUAUAGAUGGAUCCGCGCCGCAUUAGCUAGUUGGUAAGGUAACGGCUUACCAAGGCAACGAUGCAUAGCCGACCUGAGAGGGUGAUCGGCCACGCUGGAACUGAGACACGGUCCAGACUCCUACGGGAGGAAGCAGUAGGGAAUCUUCCGCAAUGGGCGAAAGCCUGACGGAGCAACGCCGCGUGAGUGAUGAAGGUCUUCGGAUCGUAAGCCUGUGUUAUUAGGGAAGAAGAAAUGUGUAAGUAACAGUGCACGUCUUGACGGUACCUAAUCAGAAAGCCACGGCUAACUACGUG
rnacentral:rRNA from 1 species